AUUGAACGCUGGCGGCAUGCCUUACACAUGCAAGUCGAACGGUAACAGGGAGCUUGCUCCGCUGACGAGUGGCGAACGGGUGAGUAAUGUAUCGGAACGUACCUUUUAGUGGGGGAUAACGUAGCGAAAGUUACGCUAAUACCGCAUAUUCUCUGAGGAGGAAAGCAGGGGACCUUCGGGCCUUGCGCUAAUAGAGCGGCUGAUAUCAGAUUAGCUAGUUGGUGAGGUAAAGGCUCACCAAGGCGACGAUCUGUAGCGGGUCUGAGAGGAUGAUCCGCCACACUGGAACUGAGACACGGUCCAGACUCCUACGGGAGGCAGCAGUGGGGAAUUUUGGACAAUGGGGGCAACCCUGAUCCAGCCAUGCCGCGUGAGUGAAGAAGGCCUUCGGGUUGUAAAGCUCUUUCGGCCGGGAAAAAAUCGCAUGGGUUAAUACCCUGUGUGGAUGAUGGUACCGGAAUAAGAAGCACCGGCUAACUACGUGCCAGCAGCAGCCGCGG
rnacentral:rRNA from 1 species